GUUUUCCCAGCACCACUUAUUGAAGAGGCUGUCCUUUCUCCACUGUACAUUCCUGCCUCCUUUAUCAAAGGCUUGCCAGCUUGGAGCAUGGGCUCCACUGAACUGAGAGGUUGUGGCCUGCACUUCCCAGUUGACCAGCAGGAGGUGGUAUGCCCACCUUGCUGAUCCUUGAGGUGCAUAUGUGCCCCACUGAUGAACUUGGCUCGUGAAGGAACUUGGCUUCUCAUGCUGCUGAUUGAAGUUCAGUCUCUUCAGGAUCCGCCAUGGUUUCAGCAUUGGGACAACACUGUUGAGUCCAUGCAGGCAGGAACCAGAUGUCUUCAGGAACUGCCAGGAGGCACCACCAUGGGAGGAAAAGCUUGUGAGAUCUUGGUUCCCAGGCCGGAAGUCGGGCCUGAGCUGCUGUGGUAAGAGCCCAGAGUCCAAACUGCUUGACUACCAGAGAACCUGGAGACCCCAGGGAAUAUUAAUCAGAGUGAGAUCUCCCAGAGGGUCCUCAUCUCAGCACCAAGACCCAGCUCUACCCAACUGCCUGCAAACUCCAGUGCUGGAAGCCUCAGGCCGAACAAACAGUAAAACAGGAACACAGUCCCACCCAUCAAAAAAAGAGACAACAAACUAUGUUACAGAUGAAGGAGCAAGGUAACCUACCUGAAAAAGAAUUCAGAGUAAUGAUAGUAAAGAUGAUCCAAAAUCUCAGAAAUAGAAUGGAGGCACAGAUCAAGGUCUUUAACAAAGACCUAGAAGAACUAAAGAACAAACAAACGAGAUAUUAAUCAAACUAACAAAAAUUAAAUUCAAAGAAAAAAUAUUAAGGGAAAAGAAAAAAAUAACAUACAAGGGAAUUCCCAUAAGGUUAUCAGCUGAUUUCUCAGCAGAAACUCUGCAGGCCAGAGGGAGUGGCAGGAUGUAUUUAAAGCCAUGAAAGGGAAAAACGUACAACCAAGAUCUCUCUACCCAGCAAGGCUCUCAUCCAGAUUUGAUGGAGAAAUCAAAAGCUUUACAGAUAAGCAAAAGCUAUGAGAAUUCACCACCACCAAACCAGCUUUACAACAAACGCUAAAGGAUCAUCUCUAGGCAGGAAACACAAAAGAAAAAGACCCACAAAAACCCAAAACAAUUUAGAAAAUGGGAAUAGGAACAUACAUAUCAAUAAUUACCUUAAAUGUAAAUGUAUUAAAUGCUCCAACCAAAAGACACAGACUGGCUGAAUGGAUACAAAAACAGGACCCAUAUAUAUGUUGUCUACAAGAAACACAUGCAGACUGAAAGUUGAGGGGAUGGAAAGAGAUAUGCCAUGCAAACUGAAAUCACAAGAAAGCUGGAGUAGCAGUACUCAUAUCAGAUGAAAGAGAUUUUAAAAUAAAGACGGUUACAAGAGAUAAGGAAGGACACUACAUAAUGCUCAAGGGAUCAAUCCAAGAGGAAAAUAAAGCAAUUAUAAAUAUUUAUGCAUCCAACAUAGGAGCACCUCAAUACAUAAGGCAAGUGCUUAUAGCCAUAAAAGGGGAAAUUGACAGUACCACAAUAAUAGUGGGGGACUUCUAACACCCCACUUACACUAAUAGAUCAUCCAUACAGAAAAUAAGGAAAUACAAGCUUUAAAUGACACAACAGAACAGAUAGAUUUAAUUGAUAUUUACAGGACCUUCCACCCAAAAGUGGAAAUACACUUUUUUCUCAAGUACUCACGGAAUGUUCUCCAGGAUAGAUCACAUCUUGGGUCACAAAUCAAGCCUUGGUAAAUUUAAGAAAACUGAAAAUGUAUCAAGUAUAUUUUCCAACCACAGCACUAUGAGGUUAGAAAUCAAUUACAGGAAAAAAACUAAAAACACACACAUGGAGGCUAAACACUGCACUGCUAAAUAACCAAGAGAUCGCUCAAGAAAUCAAAGAGGAAAUAAAAAAUACAUAGAAAUAAGUGACAAAGUAUGACAACCCAAAACCUAUAGGACACAGCAAAAGCAGUUCUAGGAGGGAAGUUUAUAGCAAUUUAGUCUCACCUCAAGAAACAAGAAAAAUCUCAAACAAUCUAACCUUAUACCUAAAGCAACCAGAGAAGAAGAAGAAAACCCAAAGUCAGUAGAAGGAAAGAAAUCAUAAAGAUCAGAGCAGAAAUAAAUGAAACAGAAAGGAAGAAAAUAAUAGCAAAGGUCAAAAAAACUACAAGUUGGUUCUUUAGGAAGGUAAACAAAAUUGAUAAACCAUUAGCUAGACUCAUCAAGAAGAAAAGGGAGAGGACUCAAAUGAAUAAAAUUAGAAAUGAAAAAGGAGAAGUUACAACAGACACUGCAGAAAUACAAGGAUAAGAGACUGCUACAAGGAACUAUAUGCCAAUAAAAUGGACAACCUGGAAAAAAUGGACAAAUUCUUAGGAAGGUACAACUUUCUAAGACAGAGCCAGGAAGAAGUAGAAAAUAUAAACAGACAAAUCACAAGUAAUAAAAUUGAAAGUGUAAUUAAAAAUCUUCCAACAAACAAAAGUCCAGGACCAGAUGGCUUCACAGGUGAAUUCUAUCAAACAUUUAGAGAAGAGCUAACACCUAUCCUUCUCAAACUCUUCCAAAAAAUUGCAGAGGGAGUAACAUUCCCAAACUCGUUCUACGAGGCCACCAUCACCCUCAUACCAACACCAAAGAUAUCAUAAAGAAAAUUACAGCAAUAUCACUGAUGAACGUAGACACAAAAAUCCUCAACAAAAUACUAGCAAACAGAAUCCAACAGCACAUUAAAAGGAUCAUACACCAUGGUCAAGUGGGAUUUAUCCCAGAGAUGCAAGGAUUCUUCAAUAUACACAAAUCAAUGUGAUACACCAUAUUAACACAUUAAAGAAUAAAAACCAUAUGAUCAUCUCAACAGAUGCAGAAAAAGCUUUUGACAAAAUUCAACACCCGUUUAUGAUAAAAACUCUCCAGAAAGUGGGCAUAGAGGGAACCUACCUCAACAUAAUAAAGGCCAUAUAUGAUAAACCCACAGCAAACAUCAUUCUCAAAGGUAAAAAAGUGAAAGCAUUUCCACUACGAUCAGCUACAAGACAAGGAUGUCCACUCUUGCCACUCAUAUUCAAAAGUCCUAGCCACGGCAAUCAGAGAAGGAAAAGAAGAGGAAUCCAAAUUGGAAAAGAAGUAAAACUGUCACUGUUUGCAGAUGACAUGGUACUGUACUAUACUAUAGAGAAUCCUAAAGAGGCUACGAGAAAACUAAUGAAUUUGGUAAAGUUGCAGGAUACAAAAUUAAUGCACAGAAAUCUCUUGCAUUCCUAUGCACUAAGAACAAAAGAUCAGAAAGAGAAAUUAAGGAAACAAUCCCAUUUACCACUGCAACAAAAAGAAUAAAAUACCUAGGAAUAAACCUACCUAAGGAGGCCAAAGACUUGCAUGCAGAAAACUCAAAGACACUGAUGAAAGAAAUUAAAGAUGAUACCAACAGAUGGACAGAUACACCAUGUUCUUGGAUUGGAAGAAUCAGUACUGUGAAAAUGACUACCAAAAGCAAUCUACAGAUUCAAUGCAAUCCCUAUUAAAUUACCAAUGGCAUUCUUCACCAAAUUAAAACAAAAACUUUUAUAAUUUGUAUGGAAACACAAAAGAUCCCGAAUAGCCAGAGCAAUCUUGAGAAAGGAAAACAGAGCUGGAGGAAUCAGGCUCCCUGACUUCAGACUGUACUACAGAGCUACAGUAGUGAAGACAGUAUGGUACUGGCACAAAAACAGAAAGAUAGAUCAAUGGUACAGUAGAGAAAGCCCAGAGAUAAACCCAAGCACCUAUGGUCACCUAAUCUAUGACAAAGGAGGCAAGAAUAUACAAUGGAGAAAAGACAGCCUCUUCAAUAAGUGGUGUUGGGAAAACUAGAUAGCUACAUGGAAAAGAAUGAAAUUAGAACACUCCCUAACACCAUACACAAAAAUAAGCUCAAAAUGGAUUAAAGACCUAAAUGUAAGACCAGACACUAUCAAACUCUUAGAGGAGAACAUAGGAAGAACACUCUUUGACAUAAACCACAGCAAAAUCUUUUUUGACCCACCUCCUAGAGUAAUGAAAAUAAAAACAAAGACAAAUGGGUUACCUAAUUAAACUUAAAAGCUUUUGCACAGCAAAGGAAAUUAUAAACAAAACAAAAAACAGCCCUCAGAAUGGGAGAAAAUAUAGGCAAAUGAAGCAACCGACCAGGGAUUAAGCUCCAAAAUAUACAAACAGCUUAUGCAGCUCAAUAUCAAAAAAACAACCCAAUCAAAAAAUGGGUGGAAGAUCUAAAUAGACAUUUCACCAAAGAAGACAUACAGGUGGCCAAGAGGCACAUGAAAAGGUACUCAACAUCACUAAUCAUUAGAGAAAUGCAAAUCAAAACUACAAUGAGGUAUCACCUCACAUCGGUCAAAAUGGCCAUCAUCAAAAAAUCUACAAACAGUAAAUGCUGGAGAGGGUGUGGAGAAAAGGGAACCCUCUUGCACUGUUGGUGCGAAUAUAAAUUGAGACCACCACUAUGGAGAAGGAGUAUGGAGGUUCCUUAAAAAACUAAAAAUAGAACUACUAUAUGACCUAGCAAUCCCACUAGUGGGCAUACAUACUGAGAAGACCGUAAUUAAAAGGACACGUGUACCCCAGUGUUCAUUGCAGCACUCUUUACAACAGCCAGCACAUGGAAACAACCUGAAUGUCCAACAGCAGAUGAAUGGAUAAAGAAGAUGUGGCACAUAUCUACAAUGGAAUAUUACUCAGCCAUAAAAUGGAACGAAAUUGAGUUAUUUGUAGUGAGGCAGAUGGACCUAGAAUCUGUCAUACAGAGUGAAGUAAGUCAGAAAGACAAAAACAAAUACCGUAUAUUAACGCGUGUAUGUGGGAUCUAGCAAAAGGGUACAGAUGAACCUAUUUCCGUGGUAGGAAUA